rnacentral:lncRNA from 1 species
GAAUUCUAGAAGGAAAGAAAAAGCCAAGUAUGAUUAAUUAUUCUUUUAGUAUGGAAACCAGGCGCUCAUUUUUAAGCUAAUAAUUGUAUAGGCAUGUGCCAGUGUAUGCUAUUUGAUAUUAUGUAUGUACAUCAUUAGGUGGUAAUUAGCUUGGUUGCCAGUUUUUAAUACAACAUUUUAAAAUCGUUAUUUUUAAACCAUCUUUACCUUACCUCUAACCCUCUUCAGAUUUGAAUAUCAACAUGGCUUUCUAAGCCAAAGAGAGCUAAGAACGCCUUCAGAAACAAAAAACAAAGAGGUGAUACCAACUCCAUCCCGAAGUACCUCAGUUUUGGGCCCUGAUGUUACUGAGAAUAACAAAUCACGUGAAAAAAGGAGGAGAGUUUCUUUUGGAGCCCC